ensembl:lncRNA
CGCCAAUGCUGAACCAUGUUGAAGAGAUUAUCUCUUGGCUGGGCCGGUGUCCUCAAAGAAGAGCCGGAGAAGGUGGCCGGGGAAUGGGAAGUGUGGGCAUCUCUUGUGUUAAACUGCUGACUUCAUGACCUGGAAGAGCUGGAAAAGAGAUUGACAAGAGCACCUCACUGGGACUCCAGGCUUAUUCGUGGAUCGCAGAGUUUCUAAAAGUAGAAUGAGAGGCAGAUCCUUCAGCUUUCAGGCCCAUCUUUUGGAUGCAGGAGACAGACACCCUUUCAACUUUGAAGAACGGUUUUCAAACUUUCCUCCUCACCAUCACCAUUGCUACUCACAGCGGAUUAUUCGAUUGUUGGGGUUCUCAUGGUGCACUUGGAUCAAAGCACAGGGAGCUGGCCACUGCUUCUGAUUUAUACGCUGGGUUAAAUGCUGAGAAGGAGUUUCCCUCCAAGGAUCAAUAAAGAUAUCCUUGUUCAUUUUCCACAUGUCAACAAGGCUUCUGUUCAC